UACGAAGGGGGCUAGCGUUGUUCGGAAUUACUGGGCGUAAAGCGCGUGUAGGCGGGUCCUUAAGUCAGGGGGGAAAUGCCAAGGCUCAACCUUGGAACUGCCUUUGAUACUGGGGAUCUUGAGUCCGGGAGAGGUGAGUGGAACUGCGAGUGUAGAGGUGAAAUUCGUAGAUAUUCGCAAGAACACCAGUGGCGAAGGCGGCUCACUGGCCCGGUACUGACGCUGAGAUGCGAAAGCGUGAGGAGCAAACAGG
rnacentral:rRNA from 1 species